rnacentral:rRNA from 1 species
UUACACCUACGGGACGCAGCAGUGGGGAAUAUUGCACAAUGGGGGGAACCCUGAUGCAGCGACGCCGCGUGAGUGAAGAAGUAUUUCGGUACGUAAAGCUCUAUCAGCAGGGGAGAAAAAAGGACGGUACCUGAGUAAGAAGCCCCGGCUAACUACGUGCCAGCAGCCGCGGUAAUACGUAGGGGGCAAACGUUAUCCGGAAUUACUGGGUGUAAAGGGAGCGUAGACGGCAAUGCAAGUCCGGAGUGGAAUGCGGCAGCUCAACUGCCGAACUGCUCUGGAAACUGUAUGGCUUGAGUGCAGGG